AGAUACAGUAUAGAAAGAUUCUGAAGAUAGACCUAGAAGCAAUCAUUCAAAAAUGAAAUUCCAACAUGAAACUGAAGAUGGUUUAAAAUUCCUGUGAAGACACUUUUGCACUGGAAUAUCCUACAUAUACAGGAAAUCUGAUGGAACCCUGCCCUGACUACAGGCCAACCCAUCCUUCACCUGUGACAAUACUGCACCUCACAUGGUUUGUGAUGUCACCUGUGUCCUUCAUGACAACUCUGGCACAUCAUCAUCAUCAUAAGGGUUAGGCCUCUGAAUCUUCUCUCCUUCUCCUGAUAUCAUGAAAAUACUCUGAGAUCUUGAGAGAUAAUUUCUUGGCAUUGUAUUUGGAAUGAAAAGAUGUUAAGGGGAAUAAUUAGUCAGUAACAGAAGACAGGCUUUGCACAUAGCAGGUCAGCUAGCUCAAUCUCUAGCAUUUUUCUACCUAUAGAGGGAGUGGGGAGCAAGCAAGAUAAAAAAAGACCUCUCUUGUGUGUUACAGUAUUUUGGAAAACCACUGUGAACCACAGAAAAUCAGCCCUCUCCAAAUUGAUGAGCUGUAACUAGUAGAAGAUCCAGCUAGAAACCCCUAACCUCCAUACGAACAUAAUUUUAUUUGGGGGAUAUGAAAUAUCCUCUUUCCACAAGUACUUUGUUGAAGAAGAAUUUUAAUGUUCAAAGUGUAGAUGUUUUGAAUCCACAUUUUAGCUUUUAGCUUUGUUUCCUUCUCCCUGCUGCUCAGUUGUCUGUCUUAUAAAUAUUUAGCUAAAGUGUUAUUAUUUUGGAAGAGAUUAUUAUUCCUUUAAUUGUUUUACUAUUUGUAAACCAGAUGAAGUUGUUUUUGUAGAAGUAUAACUGCCAUCAGUAAAUCAGUAAUGAAUUGCCCAUUCUGGUGGAUUUUGUAUAUGGGAUGUAUAUCAGGGGUAAAGAGGUGAAAUCUUCUCAGGCAGGAAAAUAUUUUGACUACCCUUAGAAUUUAACUGUAUGUGUUUCCAUGACAAAGAACAAAAUAUAGCUACUGGAUAUAACAUUUACUUUUUCAGAAAUGAAUUUAAUGCGGCAUUUAAACACAUGCACACGCAACUUUGUUUACUCAGAAGUAAAUCCCACUAUGACACAUUGCCUAGUAGAUGAGAGUAUGGCACCCCAUAUUGCUGUAAUUCUGCUUCAGGCAGGGGAUACAUUUGCUGUGUUUUUAGGCCUCUGAAGACCAUUUAUCAGACUCCAGAAGAGGGCAGCAAAACUCCUGAGUUGAGUGGCAGCCCCUCUACUCCCAGGAAGCAGCGUUUCUAGGCUGUAUCCCAAUGAAUCAGAAAGAAAAAGCUGCAGAUGAAGGAAGCCGAUUCUUUGGAACUUGACCUUUGUCUCCUUUGAGGUUCUUUUUUUCAGCCUCAUAUCCAGCUUUCGUGAUCUCAGAUGGAAAUCAUGACACAAGAUGACAAUUCUAUCUCUCUAGUCUGAGAACACUAAUAAGAAAAGUAUAGUCCACUUUCAGCACUCAAAAUGAUUGCAAUAAUUAUUCACACUGGCUGACUGGGAUUACAACCUAGCUCCUUAGGGCACCAAAAAGCACUUCCAGAUGAUCAGGUUUUCCCGUCUCUGAAUUCUUCUGAAUGCAGUUCAAACCACACCUGAGAAUGAUCCAGACCAGGGGUAGGGAACCUUGGUUCUUUUAUGACUUGUGGACUUCAACUCCCAGAAUUCCUGAGUCAGCAUGGCUAGUUCAGGAAUUCUGGGUAUUGAAGUCCACAAGUUAUAAAAGAGCCAAGGUUCCCCUACCCCUGAUCCAGACGGCCUUGACAAUUUUCAGAAUCAUUUGGACAGCAGGAUGCUAUAACCAUAGGAUUGUUUCUAUGUUUGAAAGUCUGUAGAGAUCUUUCAACCCGCCAGCCAUUCAAAGCUUGCUAUUUCUUGCUAGUACUUGAGAACAGACCAUUGUCAACAAUGGUGGGAUUCAAAUAUGUGAACAACCGGUUCUCUGUGUGGAUGCCAUUUCCGGAAGUCCAUUCUGGCCUGGGCAACAAAAAAUUAGCCACCGGUUCUGCCAAAGUGGUGCAAACCGGUUGAAUCCCACCACUGAUUGUCAGGUAGUUGGUACUCACUGCUGGCUACCUACUGAGUGUCUUAUCCUCUCCGUUCAUGUCUCUGUUAAACACCCAUCUUUCCUUCUUCCACAAAAAUAAAGGAUUUGUUUUUAUUAUACAUUUCCCACUCAACAAGAUUUACCUAAUCAUACAAUGGUAAGAUUUACAAGGAAUAAAAUAUAGUAUGUUUCAAGAAUCCUUUGAAUAAGAACACAGACUGUCCCUGUAAGCACAAGGCAGUGGCAUUUGCUGUUUCUGAAGCCUUUUCACACCCAUAGCUAUGCCACUGACCAUGGCUAUAACCAAACUGCUCAUGAUUGCAAGGCCCAAUGACAUCAUCAUGUGAUUAGCAGGGGUCUUGCAUGUGUUCUAGGGUGGUGCUUCAGUCUGGCAGAUGUGGAUCAAUAGAGAAUGUAAACAUUUGGCAGAUAGAAUCUGCUCUGCUGUAAGGUCCUAUUCCUAAAAUGAACCCCUUGUUCAUAUAGUCAUCCUUUGCCUGUUGCACACUGAAGUAGAUUGCAGUGAAUAUAUGAACCAAUUAACCUAUGAGAGGAGCUGAACAGCAAUUCUGGUGGGACUUCAGCAUUUACAAAAGUAUACAAUAGUUUGGGAAGAGUGUCCUAAGGCAGGAAUCCUAAGCAAUUUCUACUAAAGAUGUGUUUGUUUUCCAGAAAUAUGGUGAAAGACAAGGAGAAAAUUAGGGGACAGGAGAAGAUUCGCAUCAAUGUUGUGAUGUAGCACUUAAGGUGUUGGCUUAAAAUAAGGAGAGGGGAGAAUACAGGUUCGAGUUCACUUUCAGCCAUGGAGGCUCCCUAGGUGAUAUUGGGCCAGUCAUUUUCACUUAGCCUAUCUUAUUACAAGGUUGCUAUGGGUGGGUGGGGGGAAUGGAGAAGGGAGUAUAUUGUAUAAUAUACAAGCUUGAGCCCCUGGACACAGGGAGGGAUGUAAGUCUAAGAAAUAAUACAUACAAUAAUAAAAUUCUCCUGCAAGCGCCACUUGUGAGACGGUGAUUUCACUAGCAGGUAUGUAGUUUUUCAGCAUCUAAUGAUAUACAAAUGAUAUUUGCUGACAAGACUCCAUUUUAGUAGUGCUUAGGAUCUCACCAGCAGCUUAAGAAAAACAAGUAGAGGCUUUUACAAGACAAGUUGUCAAAUGUUUUCAGAGAUACCCAUUUGUAUAUGUGUCACUGCCAUCAGACAUAAAAAAUGGACACACAGGCACACAUGUAUAUAUAAGGGAAGGAGAAUUGUAGGAAUUUUAUGAUCAACACAUUGGGCUUUCACUUUCUCCAUAACUUAAAAGAAAAACAAAUUUGCCCGUGGGAACAAUUGCAUCUAUGUACUGGCUCUGAAUGUGGAUGCAAAUAGCUUUAUGGCUGGAUUGAAGAACUGAUGUGAUUCAGGCCAUGCAAAACAACUCUAUAACCUAUGCAAACAACUCUGACCUACUGUAUGCAAUUUGACCCUUCCUAACCUAGAACAUCUUAUUCGGGAUAAAAAUAACUCCGGCCCAUAAAAUUCUGCUUGCACAUACUUUUAGCUCCCCAAAUUACUCAUCAGCUACUAUUCAUUGUUCACUGUCCACUGUCACAUUAUCACUGCAUGCUCCUUAUUAAACAGUCUUCUGCUUGGUAACACCUCUGAAUAAUUUUUCUUAAUGUUCUCAGAGACUUUUUUUUACAAGGGUUGUUUAUUUCAUGGCAUUAUUGGAGUCAAUCUUUAAUCACCAUCAUUUCUUAGUGAUGCUGUUGCUAAGGUUCUCGUUGCCCCGUGUUAUGUUUAUUCUUGACUUAAUGAGCACAUUUGGCAGAAUGCACCCUCCCACCCUCUGCUUAUGUUGUGAAAAAUCCCCACUAGAUUUCAUAGGCCUCACACAGCUGGCUCUUUAAGAGAUAUCCCACAAUUGAUAACAGCCAGAACCAGCAUCCCUAUGACUUUGUGGUAAUGGCUAUAGAGAGAUAGAUGAUAAACCAAGGUUCAGUCAUUGAAACCUCUAGACAGUGAGAAAGGGAAGGGGCACUUAAAUGGGCAACAUAGAUGCUUUCAUUGGGAAGCUAUGUUAGUAACACUUAAAACUCUAUGCUCACCGGGUUGACUGGGGGCCCAGGACUUCUCCCCGAAAUCUGGUCAGAUGCAAACAUUUAAGGAUGACUUCACUAUUUUUUGCUGCAUGUUACUCAUGUAUAAAAGGGCUUUAUUCAACCUUUAACAGAUGACCAAAGGAAAUUUCUCAAUAAUCUCUUGUGAAGUUCUCCGUUUUUACUUUCAGAACCGCUCAAAUCUGCCACUGAUGAGCACCAUCUUAGAGAAGGCAUUCUGCUUUCUCCUCAGCUGAGGCAGGAGCCUUCUUUUAAUGUGAUCUUUGCAGCAACACCUACAGGCAGCGUCUGCAAACGAAGGGUGUCUGCCUUUCUGUGCCCCUUUCAAGAAAUUCCUGUUCCAGCCACAGGUUAAUUCUGCCGAUUUCAUUGAUACAGAAUCAUUUGAUUAACUGAUUAUCGUUCUUUUUAAAUGCAACACAGGAGCUCAUCUUCUGAUAAAGUUUUUUUUUUCCAAUCUCCAUGUUCUCUGUCUGUGCACAUGUACUCAACCUUCUCAAGCCCACACAAAUACACUCACACACCUCUUACACGCCUUUAGUACAGCUGCUCCCCCCACAGCAGCAGCGCCUGCCUGCCUGCUUGUCUGCCUGCCUUCAUUCCCCCACCCCCACUCUGCCCUUACAGGGCCGUUUUUUUUUUUUUUCAUACUCAAGGGUACAGGAUGUUCUGUUCUUUCUCUCUCACUCACACGCGUAGGCACACACCCUCUCCUCCUCCCCCCCCCCCGCCUGUUUCUGUUCCUCAAUAUCAGGCUUGGGGCCUUCACCUUUUUAACCCCUUCAGCUCCAGUUUGCAUUAGGCGAGGCACGGAUGACAACACAAACCCUGCUGCACCACCAUCCCUCCCUCUGACAAGCUAGGCAUUGCUCAUUGCAGAGUCGGACAAGCAAAUAUGUUGGCUUCUCAAUUAGCAACUCAGCCUGCUGUUUACCAAGGGGGUUCCUAAAGGGUUGGUGGGCCAGCUGGCAGGGGAGGCCUUGGGCAGGAAGAAGCAUUUUUUUAGUGCUGUUGGUGGUGGGGCCAGAGAAAGGCAAGUCUCCCUCUUUCCUGACCCGACUCAGAAGAUCAAAUUAUCUCUUCUCCUUGGGCCCCUCCUUCUGACCUUGCUUUUUCUCACAGGUUAGCUGUCCCUGACUAACAAGGCUAGGAAGAGGAUGACGUAAAUUCAACCGAUAACACCAGGAGAUGAGAAGAGACAUCUGGCAAUCGCUGGCUGGCUUCAUGUUGAAGGAAAUACUGCCAUUUUUGCUGAAGAAGCAUCUGGCCAGUCAUUGCCUCAGUUUUUCUACAAAUGACCCUCCUCUGAGAAAUGAUCAGAACUCCUAAAUCAGGGGUGACAAACUGCCUGCCACAGGCCUUUUGCAUCAUGCAGAGGCCACGCCCAUCACAGCUCUGGCAAUGCAAAAAAAGUCAAGAUACCUUGUGACAUAUCACAUGACGCGGCAGAUUUGACAUCCAUACCCUGAAUAAAUUUGGGCAUCCAAAACUAGAACGCUUCCUCCCUCCCAAAAACUUUUAUUUGAUUUUAGGUGGCUUACAAUGAAACAAAUAAAAAUGCAAAAUAUUCAUAACGUAAAACAAAAAUACAAAUACAUAGCGGCCGGGUAUAAUCUGACCUAUUCAUACAACCAAGAGACAGGCUCUAACUCAUGCUAGGGCCUCAAGCUUGAUCACAAGCCACAGGCCAACAGGGAUGGGUCCAAUCUAAUGGGGGUGGGAGAAAUGAUAUUCCAAAGGGUGGGUGCCCCAGGAGAAAAUUGUCUCUUCUUCUGGGCCUCAUCAGCUGACUCUCCCUAGCUGACCUAGAGCAUGCCCUUCUUGCCAUAUUGGAUAAGAGGGGUAGGAACAAUUGGGGGGAGAGAUUUAUAUGUUUGGUAUUCUCUACACACAACAGCAGAAAUGGGUCUGGUAGGAUGCUGCCUAUGAAGUAUUAAAAAUUGAAAAUGUAUUCAGUGGGCACCAUAGAAUAAUCACAAUCCCCUCUUCUAUUUAAGCUUCCUCAUCUGACACAUUCUGGAUGAGCCUGUUAUUUCCAUUUGCUAGGCCUAGCCCUAAGCAGAGAAUCAGUCUCAGUGAAUUUUUGACUCAAAAGGAAAAACAACGGAUUCAAUAACCAACUCUCUUUUUUUUCAAGGGCACUCCUGUUUCUGCACACAAGCCAGACAGAAGGAUCAACUACCAGAACCUGCCCAUACUUAAUUAUCAUCAUUGGAGAUCUUAUUUUAUGUGCCGUCACUUGAAAGAUACAAAUUUAAUGAUAUUUGAGACAAGGCCUUUUGACAAAUUCCUGCUUUCAGGGGAUGGUAAUGAGAUUGGCUUCUUUAUUGUUUUGCAUUAUACAGUAUUGGUAGAGUAGCCAGUUUUGUUGAGUAUUUUAUAUCACCCUUCUGUUUUAAUAUUAAUACUGUUCUCAUAGUUAAAGGUUUUUAAUACUUUAUUAAAUUGCUCACUACUCUG